GAGGGCGCUUACCACGGUAGGAUUCGUGACUGGGGUGAAGUCGUAACAAGGUAGCCGUAUCGGAAGGUGCGGCUGGAUCACCUCCUUUCUAGA
rnacentral:rRNA from 1 species